AACACAGAAGAGAGAAAGCAGCGCUCAAAAAACCCCCAGAAAGGGGUAGCAGGUUGUUUCACAUGCAUGGGCACAGAAGAUUAUGAACAGUGAAGACAAUGAAGAGUGGGACAUCCAUCAAAGAGUAACAACCUCUCAUAAGGUGACUCGUGUGAGCUCAUGAGGCUCUUGUAAAGGCCAGACUCAGCUAGGAUGUUACACCACCACUGCAGGAGGAACCCUGAGCUACAGGAAGAGUUGCAGAUCCAGGCUGCUGUGGCUGCCGGCGAUGUUCACACCGUGCGCAAGAUGCUGGAGCAGGGAUAUUCUCCAAACGGUCGGGAUGCCAACGGCUGGACUUUGCUUCAUUUCUCUGCAGCAAGAGGCAAGGAGAGAUGUGUCCGUGUUUUUCUGGAGCAUGGAGCUGAUCCCACAGUUAAGGACUUAAUUGGAGGCUUCACCGCUCUGCAUUACGCAGCCAUGCAUGGCCGGGCGAGGAUUGCACGCCUGAUGCUGGAAUCUGACUACAGAAGUGACAUUAUUAACGCCAAGAGCAACGACGGCUGGACUCCCCUGCACGUCGCUGCUCACUACGGCAGAGACUCCUUUGUCAGGCUCCUCCUGGAGUUCAAGGCUGAGGUUGAUCCGCUCAGUGAUAAAGGUACUACACCACUCCAGCUGGCCAUUAUCCGGGAGAGGUCGAGCUGUGUGAAAAUCCUCCUGGACCACAAUGCCAACAUCGACAUUCAGAAUGGUUUCCUGUUACGAUACGCUGUGAUCAAAAGCAAUCACUCGUACUGCCGAAUGUUCCUCCAGAGAGGGGCCGAUACAAACUUGGGGCGCUUGGAAGAUGGACAGACACCCUUACACUUGUCUGCUCUUAGAGAUGAUGUGCUUUGUGCACAAAUGUUGUAUAAUUACGGAGCAGACACUAACACAAGGAACUAUGAAGGACAGACCCCACUGGCUGUUUCAAUAAGUAUUUCUGGAAGUAGCCGACCCUGUCUGGAUUUCUUACAAGAAGUGACAAGACAGCCCAGAAACUUGCAAGAUCUAUGCCGAAUUAAAAUCCGUCAGUGUAUAGGCCUUCAAAACCUCAAACUACUUGAUGAACUACCCAUUGCCAAGACUUGCCGUGGAGAUGGAAGGCAGCCCCUCGAGGGAAGUGGUUGGUUUGAAUUGGCAUGCUGAGCAAUGAUGCAAGAACAUAAAAGUUUGGAAAUCAAGGCACCAGUCCUGCAAAAGGAUACAGAUAUACCUCCAGAGCCCUGUUUGUUAGGACCCCUGUCUCUGCCAGGUGUUUGUUUUUGCAGGACAGAAGGAAGAGUGGAUAAUCGACCUGUCCUCGGCGUGGAAAAUUCGGUUUUCUGGCUGUGGUUGGCAAUCAUAGGAGAACACAUCUGGACAAACUCUUCAGAUAAAUAUCCAGAGGCAAAAGAAAAGCUGUGGCAUCUUUACCAGGAUGGGCUGGUUUGGAGGAAAAGACCUGCCCACAAGUGCAGCUUCCAUGCAAUGCUGUGGUACCAAUACCAUCAUGUAUUUUGUUCUUCCUUUGCAAUGGCAGUAAGAAACAAAGCAGGUAUAUUCACUGCUUUAUGAAACCAUGCUACCAGGAGUUCUUCAGCCAGUGCAUUCCCCAGGGAGCCACAACAUGCAGCUGGAACAGCAAAAAGCUGGAAUUGAAAGCUAUGCUGACUUUUAUUGGGAAGUCUUCAGCUGUCUAGUGAAGAAGUCAGAGCUCCAGCUGUUUCCUCCACAUCUGGGCUCUCUAGUGCUGCUAACUGCUGUUUGUGAGGUCCCAGGUGGAGGCAGGAAUGGAGGUGGAGCAGAGCAGCACUCUGAGGAGGAGUAAGGAGCUGUGGCCAAAGCCUUGAAGAAACUCAAGGAGGGAAUUGGAGGAGGUGGCAAAGCUCCCAAGUUAUCCAGAGACCUGUGGUUUCUCCAUGCCCAGAGCUGCCCCAGCAGAAGCUUCUAGAAGAGUUAGAGGUCUUCAAUUCAGCAAAUUCCCUUUUCCUCCUGUUGCUCCAGUGGUGUCCUGCUGUCCUGGCUUUGUGAGGUUCCCAGAGUUAUUCUGGACCCCGAUAAAUCAGACCUUAAAUAUGGAGAAAUUACCUGCACCUGGGAAUGGCAGGAUAUGGAGGAUGUGAAUGUAUAGAAUCCCUGUGAACACAUUAUAUUCAUAUGUGGAUGCUGUGGGCAUUGUAUUGCAAAGACUUCAGGAGUCCAUCUCUGCAAGUCAGCUGCAGUGUUAUGGCACGAGCAUGGAGGCACAGUCCCAGGUGGAAACGCUGCAAGGAGUGAGAGCACAGGGGUGGCCUGGCAGUGGGCAAUACCAUGGAGAGAAGUUGGGCCAGGGAAGGACCUGAAUGUUUCAACUGCAAGUAUAUUUAAUGUUUCUGCUUUGAACAGAAUUUCCUAGGAUUUUCAUUCAUCAGUUUGCCUGGUUUUUAAUGGGAAUGAGGGUGGUUACCUGACUGUUCUGGGCUCAGGCUGAUGGAGGCACUGAAGAUAAUCACUGCUGUGGUUGAGGCUUCACCAAUAAUCUCUGCCUGGAGCUGAGUGAAGUUACAAACACUGCCUGGUUUUCUGAUAUGGGCAAAUGCUUUAUUUUCCCUCUGUUUUAUGAAUUUCCUUAAUGUGUGUUGAUGCUAUAUGUUAUUAAAAUCGAUUACCUCCUUCACUUAUUUCCUCUGCUCUGGACUCAAUUACUUGCUUUUCUUUUUUCUUUUUUCUUCUUUCUUUUUUUUUCUUUUUUAAGUAGGUUGAAGCUGAUAUGACAGAAAUAAUAUCCAAUCUCUAUUUCUUAAGAUACAGGACCAGUCUAUCAGGCUGUUGGCACAAAACAACAAUUGUUUUAUUGUUGGGAUGUAGUUUUGACAGAAGCUGAAAGAAUCUGCCUGGGCUGGAGGGAGGAAUUGGACCUGCAUCUCUUGCAUCUCAGCUGAGGGCCUUGACAGCUGCAUACGCCUUGGUAACCCAUAGCUGGAGCACAUCUCUGCAGAAGAGAAAUUCACUCCUUGCUUUGAAGACAAAGUGCUGAGGCAUCCGCUGCAUUCCUUCCUGACAUGUUCCAGUGGUUGGCUGCCCUCAUUCCAAAGCAGAUGUCUCCUCUCUGAUUUGAAUGCUGCUGACCUCAGAUUCCUGCCAUUAGACCUUCUGCCUGUUCCUGAUGGAGAAGUUUAAUGAGGAAAAGCCAAAUAUCUUCUUUGCAUCCAGAACCUGCUGCUGUAUUCCCAAGGAUCAUAAAACAACCUGCUCUAAAAGCAUCCUUGAGGAUCUCUUGAUUCUUUUCAUCAGGAGCUGCUUCAUCCAUCCCUGAUAUUUGCCCCACUCAAGAUGAAAAGUGGCUGCUUUUUUAAGGAUUGGAAGGAGGUUUGUCACUGCUUGGGUUGGGAACAGAGUGGGAAGCCCCCAAACUGUCAAACCAUAAGGUUCUGCAGCAACCCAAGGAAUUCUGCUUGGGAUGUCUCUGCAGGGAAUUUUCUUCCUGCCUCAAACCUGUUGAGUUCCAAUAUUCAUUUUAAUGAUCUCAUUUUAUAAAUAAUGGGAAGCAAAACAAUGCAUUCAAUAGAAAUGAGAUUAGAAAUAGGAGGGGAAUGAAUUACAAAUGCAAGAGUCUGUAUUUAUUCCAAGGAAGAUAAAUCUCAUUUUAAGUGGUCUCCAGUGCAACAGAGUCUUGCUAAGACUAAAACAAAGUAAAUCUGGUUUUGUUGAUAAAUAAAAGUGUGAGGCAGUGGCAGGGAAUGUUUUCUAACACUAGUUGGUUGUCAUAGUAUCCUGGGACUAAUGAUAACUAACUAAUACCUGGGUUUUACUCUUGGCCUGGCCACUGUCUCUCUGCAGUAAAUCAUUUAACACCCUGUGCUGGAGUUAAGGCACAAGCUGGAAAAUCCAACUCCGGAGUACAAAUUACAUCAGGGCGUGACCCUCGGUAAAGCUGUCACUGUCAGGAUUCUACCUCAGCAGGGUGAAGAAGUUUGAAGUGCAUCAUCAGUUGGAAGGUAGAAUUAGUGACAUUUCAGCAGCCCAUGCACAAGUUGCUUCAGGUGUUGUGGGAAAGGCUGUUGGUGGGAGGCCUUUUAAUCUGGGGCUGGAUCUGGCAUGGUGAUGCACCUCUUGUGUCACACAAUGUAGACACAACACCAGCAGUGGCUUGAAAAUUCUCCUUUUUUUUCUGUUCUGUGAUUUGGUCAGAUUUUCUGUCACAUGGGUAGCAGGCAGGAAAAAAGAUGUUUGCUCUGCAGAACUCUCCAUAAGUCCCUUCUCCAUGUGGUCCUUGAGCUGCAGUGAGGAAGGGACCAUAGCAGGGAUUGAUAAGAGGGUCUGAACUGUAAAGGCCAACUCAGCAGGGAGGUAACACCAUCACUGUGUUCUCACCUAAUUGGAAACACACUGUCCCUCCAAACCUGGUGAGACUCAGAGGGAAGCGCUGGCAUGAGCUGCAGUGGGAUGGAUGGAUGGAUGGAUGGAUGG